UUACAACUGUGAAAACUAGUCUCCCAGGA
rnacentral:piRNA from 1 species